rnacentral:lncRNA from 1 species
UUGGGGGUGCAGGUUAUUGUUGUAGUUGUAAGUACAAUUUUCAUUGUAAUGUGCCUCUUUAUUUGUUACCUUUAAAUAUGAAGGUUUGGCCCACUGAGUGAUGUGUGUCUUGGCUCACAUUCAACAAAGGUUGAUGUGGAGUUGUCAGAAGUUUUUUUUAAUUCAGGCUGUUGUGCUGUUACAAACCACGUUCAUUACUGUCGAUGAUAUGAAAGGUCAAGCUUAGAUAUUAUGUAUUGGGAGAUGGACCUACUCUCUUCCAUUGCUAAUGAAAAUCUGAACUCUGUAUUUUUC